AAAAUAAAAGACUUGUAAAAAAUUUAAAAGGGACAUGUACAAGAAAUGGAAAAAGGGGGAAAUCACCAAAGAGGAAUUCAAACACAUAGCCAGGACAUGUAGAGGGAAAGUCAGAAAAGCUAAAGCUCAGAAUGAGCUCAGGUUUGCCAGAGAGGUUAAAAACAAUUUUAAAAGACUUUUUUGAUUAUGUCUGUAGCAAA